rnacentral:rRNA from 1 species
UAUAGUUUACAUGGCGGUCACUCGUUAUAUGGAUAACUGUGGUAAUUCUAGAGCUAAUACAUGCACAAAAACGCGACUUCACGGAAGCGUUGUGUUUAUUAGAUACAGAACCAAUCCCUUCGGGGUCUUUGGAUGAUUCAUAAUAAAUGAACGGAGCGUAUGGCUUGUGCCGACGCUGUGUCAUUCAAGUUUCUGACCUAUCAGCUUUCGACGGUAGGGUAUUGGCCUACCGUGGCAUUGACGGGUAACGGAGAAUUAGGGUUCGAUUCCGGAGAGGGAGCCUGAGAGACGGCUACCACA